GAUCCUGGCUCAGGAUGAACGCUGGCGGCGUGCCUAAUACAUGCAAGUAGAACGCUGAAGGAAGGAGCUUGCUCUUUCCGGAUGAGUUGCGAACGGGUGAGUAACGCGUAGGUAACCUGCCUGGUAGCGGGGGAUAACUAUUGGAAACGAUAGCUAAUACCGCAUAACAAUAGAUGUUGCAUGACAACUAUUUNUAAAGGGGCGAAUUGCUCCACUACCAGAUGGAACUGCGUUGUA
rnacentral:rRNA from 1 species